rnacentral:rRNA from 1 species
UACGAAGGGGGCUAGCGUUGCUCGGAAUCACUGGGCGUAAAGCGCACGUAGGCGGACUCUUAAGUCGGUGGUGAAAUCCUGGAGCUCAACUCCAGAACUGCCUUCGAUACUGAGAGUCUCGAGUCCGAGAGAGGUGAGUGGAACUGCGAGUGUAGAGGUGAAAUUCGUAGAUAUUCGCAAGAACACCAGUGGCGAAGGCGGCUCACUGGUCCGGUACUGACGCUGAGGUGCGAAAGCGUGGGGAGCAAACAGG